CUGACAUCAACAUCACGUCAUCUUCAUCAUUUCAUCAUCAUCAUCAUCACUGCAUCAUCAACAUCACUGACAUCAACAUCACGUCAUCUUCAUCACUUCAUCAUCAUCAUCAUCAUCACUGCAUCAUCAACAUCACUGACAUCAACAUCACGUCAUCUUCAUCACUUCAUCACCAUCAUCAUCAUCAUCACUGCAUCAUCAACAUCACUGACAUCAACAUCACGUCAUCUUCAUCAUUUCAUCACCAUCAUCAUCAUCAUCACUGACAUCAAAAUCACGUCAUCUUCAUCACUUCAUCAUCAUUAUCAUCAUCAUCAUCACCGCAUCAUCAACAUCACUGACAUCAACAUCACGUCAUCUUCAUCAUUUCAUCACCAUCAUCUUCAUCACUGCAUCAUCAACAUCACUGACAUCAACAUCACGUCAUCUUCAUCAUUUCAUCACCAUCAUCAUCAUCAUCACUGCAUCAUCAACAUCACUGACAUCAACAUCACGUCAUCUUCAUCAUUUCAUCACCAUCAUCAUCAUCAUCACUGCAUCAUCAACAUCACUGACAUCAACAUCACGUCAUCUUCAUCAUUUCAUCAUCAUCAUCAUCACUGCAUCAUCAACAUCACUGACAUCAACAUCACGUCAUCUUCAUCAUUUCAUCAUCAUCAUCAUCACUGCAUCAUCAACAUCACUGACAUCAACAUCACGUCAUCUUCAUCACUUCAUCAUCAUCAUCAUCAUCACUGCAUCAUCAACAUCACUGACAUCAACAUCACGUCAUCUUCAUCACUUCAUCAUCAUCAUCAUCAUCAUCACCGCAUCAUCAACAUCACUGACAUCAACAUCACGUCAUCUUCAUCAUUUCAUCACCAUCAUCAUCAUCACUGCAUCAUCAACAUCACUGACAUCAACAUCACGUCAUCUUCAUCAUUUCAUCAUCAUCAUCAUCAUCAUCACCGCAUCAUCAACAUCACUGACAUCAACAUCACGUCAUCUUCAGCACAUCACAUCAUCUCAUCACUUCAUCACCAUCAUCAUCAUUUCUGCCAUCAUCGCCAUUCUCGUCACUGA
rnacentral:lncRNA from 1 species